CCGCUGGACCCCCUCAGCUCUGCUGUGGCCUAUGGCUUUUCAUUCCUAUGUGAUUGCUGUUUCUAAUUCAUGUAGGGCUAAAAGCCAUGGGCUACAGUGAGGGGCGUGCUCCUUCUCCUGA
rnacentral:pre_miRNA from 12 species